GCCCGGCCGCGGGAUUCGAUUCCUACGGGAGGCAGCAGUGGGGAAUAUUGCACAAUGGGCGAAAGCCUGAUGCAGCGACGCCGCGUGCGGGAUGACGGCCUUCGGGUUGUAAACCGCUUUCAGUAGGGACGAAGCUUUUGUGACGGUACCUACAGAAGAAGCACCGGCUAACUACGUGCCAGCAGCCGCGGUAAUACGUAGGGUGCGAGCGUUGUCCGGAAUUAUUGGGCGUAAAGAGCUUGUAGGCGGUUUGUCGCGUCUGCUGUGAAAGCCCGGGGCUUAACCCUGGGUCUGCAGUGGGUACGGGCAGGCUAGAGUGUGGUAGGGGAGACUGGAAUUCCUGGUGUAGCGGUGGAAUGCGCAGAUAUCAGGAGGAACACCGAUGGCGAAGGCAGGUCUCUGGGCCACUACUGACGCUGAGAAGCGAAAGCGUGGGGAGCGAACAGGAUUAGAUACCCUGGUAGUCCACGCCGUAAACGUUGGGCGCUAGGUGUGGGUCCCAUUCCACGGGGUCCGUGCCGCAGCUAACGCAUUAAGCGCCCCGCCUGGGGAGUACGGCCGCAAGGCUAAAACUCAAAGGAAUUGACGGGGGCCCGCACAAGCGGCGGAGCAUGCGGAUUAAUUCGAUGCAACGCGAAGAACCUUACCAAGGCUUGACAUACACCGGAAACUUCCAGAGAUGGGAGCCCCCUUUGUGGCUGGUGUACAGGUGGUGCAUGGUUGUCGUCAGCUCGUGUCGUGAGAUGUUGGGUUAAGUCCCGCAACGAGCGCAACCCUCGUUCUAUGUUGCCAGCGGUUCGGCCGGGGACUCAUAGGAGACUGCCGGGGUCAACUCGGAGGAAGGUGGGGAUGACGUCAAAUCAUCAUGCCCCUUACGUCUUGGGCUUCACGCAUGCUACAAUGGCCGGUACAAAGGGCUGCGAUCCCGUGAGGGGGAGCGAAUCCCAGAAAGCCGGUCUCAGUUCGGAUUGGGGUCUGCAACUCGACCCCAUGAAGUCGGAGUCGCUAGUAAUCGCAGAUCAGCAACGCUGCGGUGAAUACGUUCCCGGGCCUUGUACACACCGCCCGUCAAGUCACGAAAGUCGGUAACACCCGAAGCCGGUGGCCCAACCCCUUGUGGGAGGGAGCUGUCGAAGGUGGGACUGGUGAUUGGGACUAAGUCGUAACAAGGUAACC
rnacentral:rRNA from 2 species